rnacentral:rRNA from 1 species
GACGAACGCUGGCGGCGUGCCUAAUACAUGCAAGUCGAGCGAGCGGAACUAACAGAUUUACUUCGGUAAUGACGUUAGGAAAGCGAGCGGCGGAUGGGUGAGUAACACGUGGGGAACCUGCCCCAUAGUCUGGGAUACCACUUGGAAACAGGUGCUAAUACCGGAUAAGAAAGCAGAUCGCAUGAUCAGCUUUUAAAAGGCGGCGUAAGCUGUCGCUAUGGGAUGGCCCCGCGGUGCAUUAGCUAGUUGGUAAGGUAAAGGCUUACCAAGGCGAUGAUGCAUAGCCGAGUUGAGAGACUGAUCGGCCACAUUGGGACUGAGACACGGCCCAAACUCCUACGGGAGGCAGCAGUAGGGAAUCUUCCACAAUGGACGCAAGUCUGAUGGAGCAACGCCGCGUGAGUGAAGAAGGUUUUCGGAUCGUAAAGCUCUGUUGUUGGUGAAGAAGGAUAGAGGUAGUAACUGGCCUUUAUUUGACGGUAAUCAACCAGAAAGUCACGGCUAACUACGUGCCAGCAGCCGCGGUAAUGCGUAGGUGGCAAGCGUUGUCCGGAUUUAUUGGGCGUAAAGCGAGCGCAGGCGGAAGAAUAAGUCUGAUGUGAAAGCCCUCGGCUUAACCGAGGAACUGCAUCGGAAACUGUUUUUCUUGAGUGCAGAAGAGGAGAGUGGAACUCCAUGUGUAGCGGUGGAAUGCGUAGAUAUAUGGAAGAACACCAGUGGCGAAGGCGGCUCUCUGGUCUGCAACUGACGCUGGGGCUCGAAAGCAUGGGUAGCGAACAGGAUUAGAUACCCUGGUAGUCCAUGCCGUAAACGAUGAGUGCUAAGUGUUGGGAGGUUUCCGCCUCUCAGUGCUGCAGCUAACGCAUUAAGCACUCCGCCUGGGGAGUACGACCGCAAGGUUGAAACUCAAAGGAAUUGACGGGGGCCCGCACAAGCGGUGGAGCAUGUGGUUUAAUUCGAAGCAACGCGAAGAACCUUACCAGGUCUUGACAUCUAGUGCCAUUUGUAGAGAUACAAAGUUCCCUUCGGGGACGCUAAGACAGGUGGUGCAUGGCUGUCGUCAGCUCGUGUCGUGAGAUGUUGGGUUAAGUCCCGCAACGAGCGCAACCCUUGUUAUUAGUUGCCAGCAUUAAGUUGGGCACUCUAAUGAGACUGCCGGUGACAAACCGGAGGAAGGUGGGGAUGACGUCAAGUCAUCAUGCCCCUUAUGACCUGGGCUACACACGUGCUACAAUGGGCAGUACAACGAGAAGCGAGCCUGCGAAGGCGAGCGAAUCUCUGAAAGCUGUUCUCAGUUCGGACUGCAGUCUGCAACUCGACUGCACGAAGCUGGAAUCGCUAGUAAUCGCGGAUCAGCACGCCGCGGUGAAUACGUUCCCGGGCCU